GUGCUUUAUCAGGGACUUGAGGAUGAUCUUCUACCUUCGACAACGGCUAAUUUCUCUAAUAAAGGAAGAACAAGCGAAUUUCCAAGGGAAAGAAGGGAGUCAAGAAGAAAGCGGUAGUUCUUUUUAUCUGUGUGUGACAAGUUUAUGAUAUUUUUAGUCUCUGGAACUCUUUAAGUCAAGAAGAAAGCUGAUCCUUUUUCCAAGAACGAUUGGUAUGAUAUCAAAGCUCCAUCACUAUUCAGCGCCAGAAAUGUUGGUGGUCAUGAGGUUGCUCUUCAUGCUGUUGAGAAGGGUCUGAAAAACUGCCAUCAUCGAAGGUGAUGUGGUUGGUGGAACAUGUGUUAAUCGUGGUUGUGUUCCUUCCAAAGCCCUUCWUGMUGUCAGUSGUCGCAUGUGGGAGCUUCAGAAUGAACACCAUAUGAAGUCUUUUAGUUUACAGUGAAGGACUGAAAGAUUGAGGAUUAUGAGAUUGUCGCUUGUGAGGAAAGUAAUAUUGCUACAGUAAUGUGGUGAAUUGGGUCUGUUUUCCGGACUUCAGGUGAUGGGAACAAUUUCAAUAGAUAUACUUUGUAUCUCAAUGUAACUUGUUGAAGCUUUAUACAAUUUAUAUCUUGCAUGAAUG